UUCUAGCCCUGAUUGCAGCGGUUGCCGUGCAAAAGCGGAAAGCAGGAAUAAGG
rnacentral:sRNA from 1 species